rnacentral:rRNA from 1 species
UACAGGGGGGGCAAGCGUUGUUCGGAAUUACUGGGCGUAAAGGGCUCGUAGGUGGCCAACUAAGUCAGACGUGAAAUCCCACGGCUUAACCGUGGAACUGCUCGGGAUACUGGCGAUCUUGAGCCACUUAGGGGCUACCGGAACAAAUGGUGGAGCGGUGAAAUGCGUAGAUAUCAAGAGGAACACCUGCGGCGAAGGCGGGUUGCUGGGCCGACACUGACGCUGAUGCGCGAAAGCCAGGGGAGCGAACGGG